rnacentral:lncRNA from 1 species
CUCCUUUUCUAUCUAUCUCACUAUUUCUCUCUAUUCUCACGGGCGUUUGGGGAGAGGGCAACCAGCGCUGGAGGGUACGGAGAGCGAUGGCGUCGGCGGCGACGUUGGGGGAGAGCGGCGACAGCGUCAGGGAGAGGUGGCAUCUGCGGUGGCGGUGGGGGAGAGAGCCAGCUUAGACGGCGGUGUCGACGGCCACGCGCGUCGGGCUGGGGGAGGAGGAGGCGGUGGAGUCGGGCUGGGGGUGGUCGAGUCGUCGUCGGGCUGUGGCGAGGCGGCGGCGCACUGCAGAGGGGAGGAGGUGCGGCGAGGCGGCGUCGGGCUGGGGGGAGGAGGCGGCGACUUCGGGCCGGAGGGAGGCG